GCCGCCAGAGAUAUAAUAUGCAAAAGCAGGCGGGUAGUGGGCGCCGUAGUGGACUACAGAAGGGAAGGGUUUUGGGAAGCUGAAAGCAGAGAUUGAGUAGAAUAAGAGAAACAGGAGAGAGAGGAAUGCUGCAGAGAAGAGUGUGAAAAGCCNNNNNNNNNNNNCCCCAUAAUACUAACAACACUAGUGUUGAAUCGGCCUCUCGUUCUUGUUCCCGUUGUUGGCGAUCAAUUUGAUGAUGGGGCAUAUGGUACAAAAUCAAAUCUAAGUUCAAAAUUUUGAGCUAAAUUUGAGGUUUAGAGAAUAAAUCAGGAUAUGGGCAAUGAGGACUUGAGCAUACCUUUUGGAUUCCAAUGAGAAAUGGAAAAGAAAGGAACCAUCAAAACUGAAGCUGCUUUUUAGGGCAAAUUUCAGAUUUUGAGGUAAAACAAAGAAAUGAGCAUCUAUCAAAUGAAGAUUUCCAUGUUAAAUAUAGGAUUAAAGCAGAAAUAGAGAAAAGGGUACGCUGGGAUCUUGAG
rnacentral:misc_RNA from 1 species